rnacentral:tRNA from 1 species
GAGGGUACAGCUCAGUGGUAGAGCGCAUGCCCAGCACGCCUGACGUUCUGGGUUCAAUCCCCAGUACCUCCA